UCUUUUCCAGUGAGCCGGCUCUUCGCAUCAGGCGGCCAGAAUGUUGGAGCUUCAAAGGUUCUUUCAAUCCAGCUCCAUACAAGAAGUUAGUGGGAAAAUUACAAACAUAAUCUGGCAAGUAAAACUAGGCACUAAAGAAAGAAUUCCACUUUUCAUUGAGCCUGAAAUAAAGAAGGAUUCAUGCAUGAAUCAGAUCUUCCAAAAGCAGUAAACCCUGGAGGCUAAGCUAUGUAAGCUAUUAACUUUAGCUUGGUACAUACUGAGCCAGGGAUAAAGAGGCCAGUAUUCAUCUGAACUGACCUGAAGCAAAUGUGAAGUAGCAGUGUCUUUUCUCCCUUCCCAGGAUUUUCCAAGAAAUUCUCCCACCUUCAGUAUUGGACAACACACCUGGAGUUGCCAUGUGGUUUGAUGAAAAAUCCUGGACUAGAAAUCAGUCCGACCUGCUUGUAGGGCCACCCAUCCCCCUAUUCUCUGAGCAUCACUUUCCUUAUUUGUAAGAUGUCUUGCCUGUCUCCAGAGAGUUUCUGUGAGGAUCAAGUGAAGCAGUUUAGGAGGGGUGGAAAUCUGCAAAGUAAUAUGGAAAUGUAAGGAAUAACAUUUAUCUAUGAGUGAUAGAAAAUAACUCAAAAAUCACUUAACCCAUACAUACUAUCUCUCAGAAGAGGAGGUCUGGAGGGGAAGCAACUGCAGGAGUGGUUAAUGAAGUGUCUCUAGAACAACCUCAGGUGCUUUGGUGACUUCUUUUCCUUUCCUCCUCAGGGGGUUUGCUGCUGCCCCUUGUAAUUAUAAGAUGCCUGCCCUAGAUCCAGAUACCAUCUACAGAGAACACCAUCCUGAGGCAGAAAGGGGACUUUUUAAUCUUUCCAAGUAUCAUUUAUUAAGAGCAAGGACAGCAUUUCCAGAAACCCUCCCUCCUAUAGCCCUCCCAUCCUGCCUCAUUGACUGAAAUUGCAACCCAUGCCCAUUGCUAAUCUAUCUAUCAGUGAAAGAGAAAUUGUGUUACUAUGAUUGGUUUAAGACUAAUUAAGAUUCAUUUCCAGAGAGGAGGGAAAGGGCCUCCACUGAAGUAGAUGGCCACCUAAGCUUCUUGUAUAAAACCAAAGUGGUGUGAUCAAGGAAAUGAAGGGGCAAUGGCAAUUGGUUUGUCAACCGGUUUUUUGCCACAGAUUGAUAGUUAUGUUAGCUGUCUCCCUUUUCCCUUCAAAGCAUCAAAGGAAACACGUCUGCAAUUUUCCCUCCAGUCCUAUUGGUGACUAUAUAGAAUGCCAGUUGAAAUGAUUAGAAAUAGGACUUGCCUGGUGGUCCAGUGGUUAAAAAUACACCUGUCAGUGCGGGGGGGACGCAGGUUCGAUCCCUGGUCUGGGAAGAUUCCAUAUGCAAUGAGGCAUCUAAAGCCCAUACACCAUCACUGCGUCCACGUGCUGCAGCUACUGAGGCCUGAUCACCCUAGAGCCUGUGCUUUGCAGGAGAAGCCACCACUGCGAGAAGUGCACCACAAGAAGAGAGUAGUCCCCACUCACCACAACUAGAGAAAAGUCCAAGCACCAAUGAAGACCCAGCACAGCCAGAGAUAAACAAACAUUUAGGGGGGAAAAAUAAUAAGGUUUCAAACCUAUCCAGUAACACAGUCAGGACUAGCUGCAGCCACCCCUCUACAAUUAGACCAACACCAAGACCCUCUUGUUGGCCUUGAGGGUGAAUCUGCCAUCUUAGGAUGAAGCAGAGGGGUAGAAAAGACUGAAGCUGAGGAUAGAACAGAGAGGGACAAUAAAGAAAGCAUCGCUCACUCACUGGGCUAGGUGCCCUAGUACAAACUGAAGGGUGACUCCAUGUGUGUUCACAGUUGGGUAAUAAUCACUUUACUCUCUAUUUCUGGAAAGGAACUGUACCUGCACACCCCUCCAAGUAUAAGCAUAAACAAAGGAUGACAGGUAACAAUAAUGAUUCAGAAUCAUAACCACCAGGAUAAGAAUUCCCGUUUGUCUCAUGCUUACUAGAUGCUCUUAUACUGAGUUUAUCAAAAUCAGAAAAUGGGGCUGAAUGUGAGAGACGGCCCUGGGUAAUAAAGAAUUGCUAAGGCAAUGAGUAUAAUACAUGGAAUUCUUCCUGAAACUGAGAAAGGGAAAGUUUCUUCCAGCUAGGACUGCUAAUUUGUUGGCCAUCUUUGGCUUCCAGUGGCCAUCUUUUUCCCUACAUGGGAGAAAUUGCAAAGAACGAAGCAAUACAAAGGAAAGUAAAGCUGAGAGAGAACCUGCUAACUGUAACAUCUUAGCACCUAGAUCCAGCCAUUCCUGAAGUUUUAUCCUAUGACAUUUCACAUAUGUAAGUCAAUAAAUUCCUGAAUUUUAUUUUCUUAGAACAGUUUCAUUUGGGGACUUCCCUGGUAGUCCAAUGGUCAAGACUCAAAGUUUCCAGUGCAGGGGGCACAGUUUCCAUCCCUGGUCAGGGAGUUAAGAUCCCACAUGUAGGGAGCUACUACAGAAAGAAAAAAAAAUUUUUUUUGAUUUGGAUUUUGGUCCACUGUUGUUUUCAAAAGAAUUUUUACUAAUACUUGCUAAAAUGUAAUUAUCAAUCUCCAGAUCUUCUUGCUGAGAAAUCAAAUCAUUGUGUUAGGCAAACUGACUUUGAAUUGACUUUUUUCAAUUGCAAGUGAGAAAAAUCCAACACAAUUGCUUUCUGCAUAUAAGUAUAUACUAACGUUUUCAGAUUAUUUGCUUGCAUGCUAUAAGGUCACCUGUUGGGUUUAAAUACUGUUUGUUGUCUUUUCUCUUUCUAUUUUCCUUCUUCCAUUUUCUUUUCUUUUACUUUAGGCACAUAACUGGCCGGCAACAAAGCCUCCCCAAGAUGGGGAAAACAGUUCUGGUCUAGCUUGGUUGCUGUGAGCCACUUAAGAUUUAUCUCUGGCAUGCACCAAGGGGUCCUCUCACUAGGGGUGAGGUGUGGUUAGGCAGUGGCAUCUGACCUGACAUCCCAUUUUUUAUUGAGUCUUAGGGCCUCUUUACGUGAUCUCUCCCCACUUGUUCAAUGCAGUCGCUCAGUUGUGUCCGACUCUUUGCAACCCCAUGGGUUGCAGCACGUCAGGCUUCCCUGUCCAUCACCAACUCCCGGAGCCUACUCAAACUCAUGUCCAUCGGGUCAGUGAUGCCAUCCAACCAUCUCAUCCUCUGUCGUCCCCUUCUCCUCCUGCCAUCAAUCUUUCCCACUUGUCAGUUUGGGCUGCUUCUUAGCAUGGUGGCUUCAGUGCAACUGACAGCUUACAUUCCUGAAGGCUUCAGGAGAAAUGCUUCCGGAGAUCCAAGUGGGAGUUCAAGCUCCCUCCGCAGCAUCCUCAGCGCCGGGGCUCCCGGCCGUCGCCAGGGGGCGCGCUCCGGCCUGCGGCACCCGCUGACCCCACCGCGGGGUUUUGGCGCUCCGAGUGCGGACUUCAGGCUGCGUCGCCCGGAGGCAGUCCGGCCGGCUUGUCGGGAGGCUGGGGACCGGCGGCCUUGGCGAAGAAACCGGGCUCGGGGAGGCGGCAGGAAGGGGGCGCUGCGAGGCCCGGGGGUCGCGGCAGGGAGGAAGUGCUGUCUUCGCGGCCCCGCGAAGCCGGUUUUGAUCCCGGCGGCGGGACCCUAGACUCCCAGCGGCUGGCGGGAGGGAGGGAGGCUCCUCCCCCGAGCCUCGUCCCGGCCCCGAGCGGCGGCGGCGGGCGCUUCCCCCGCAGGAAGCGGCGGUUUUAGUCCUCGUGCGGCGGCGGCGGCGGUGCUUGGUCAGGACUCCGGGACUGAACCCAGAAGUGCGGCUGAGCGCCCUGGUCUUUCCCGCUCUCAGCUCUUCAGAGGAUACCAUGAUGACAUAGGGAUCUCCAGCCCAUGAGGAAGCCAGGCAGUGCUGUGUUCUCAAACAGGUUGGUGCUGUAAACGGUAAUAGUCACUGAACGGAGGACAAAGAAUGCCCUUUUUUUAUCAAAGGCAACCAAAAGCACAUGAAGAUCCCAUGUAUGACAUCAUAGGAGAGAAUAAAAGACACGAAAAGAAUAUAAGGUUGAGUUGAAUAUGUGGUGUUGGAGAAGACUCUUGAGAGUCCCUUGGACUGCAAGGAGAUCC